UGAAGGGGAAGCCGGCAGCGUUUCCGUUUCUAUUUUUGUACUGCGCACCGCUGGGCGGGAAGAAGUGUGGCGUUUUCGCAGAAUUCUAAAAAUGCUAUUGCCACAGAGAAUUGUAAGGACUUGGCAAAGUAGCGCAAAACGCUCCAUAAUCUUAACCGUAUGAAAGCAGCAGUUUUGCUUGGGAGUGCAUAGUAAGAAAGGGCAGUUGUUUGUUAGGAAAAAUCGGUCUAUUGAAGUGAUUUCUCCGUUUUUUUUUAACCGAGAUAAUGUAACUUACUCAGAAAAAGAAAAAAAAAACGUCUGUUACUAGAUAUGAGACUUUUUGAGGAAUAGUCACAGGUUAUUUUGUGCGUCAUAUAGAGAAAAUAAUUUGCAUUAUUUGUAAUGCCUUUAGUCAGUCUUCCACUUCCUAUUUAUCUUUUUGUAUUAUAACAAUUUUUUUGCAUGAGGUACACCAAGCUAUCACAGAACAGACUUUUACACAAACUCAAGUCCGUUACUACUGGGCCAAUUAAUUAUCUUUCAGAUGUGGGAAAAACUGGAAUAUUUGAAAAAUAAAUAAAUGAAAAACUCAUGGAGUAAAAGAUAAAUCAAGGACAGAUUUACUGCUGUGAGGCAAAUCACAAACCCCUGGAGAAUUGUCUAAGCAGCUAUCUCUAAUGCAGAUAUUCCUCACUAAUUCUGAAGCAGUCCAGGACGCCUCAAAGUCAAAAAGACCAGGUGUGUUUUGUCCUCAUCUGGCACGCUCAUCUCGGUCAUGCCUAUUGAUGGUGUCAGGUUCAAGAGGCUCCCAAAAUCAAAGAGGGAGCAAGGACCUGAACUGACAUGCAUCGUCACAGGACUACUCUGUUUAGUACCCUGAAAUGACAGCUAAUGGGUUAUUAGUUAAACUGGCCUCUUUAAUUCUGUACUCUUAUUUGAACUUUGUUUCCCCUUCCCUGCUGAACAAUGCCUAGCUACUGUAUAUGUCCCUAAUUCCACUAAAAUGCAUGCACACAACUGAACAUAAUGUAUUCCUGGAUCAGAUGGAACACCUAACGGCCUGUUGCUGUGACGUCACAUGUGAUGAAGACCAUGGAGCGGCUGUUCCUUCACCACCUGAGGCCACAGG